AUACGGAGGAUCCGAGCGUUAUCCGGAUUUAUUGGGUUUAAAGGGUGCGCAGGCGGGAGAUUAAGUCGGCGGUGAAAUUUUGCAGCUCAAAUGUAAAAGUGCCUUCGAAACUGGUUUCCUUGAGUGUAGAUGAAGUAGGCGGAAUUUGUGGUGUAGCGGUGAAAUGCAUAGAUAUCACGAGGAACUCCGAUUGCGCAGGCAGCUUACUAAACUACUACUGACGCUCAGGCACGAAGGCGUGGGGAUCAAACAGGAUUAGAUACCCUGGUAGUCCACGCAGUAAACGAUGAUUACUAGCUGUUUGCGAUACAAUGUAAGCGGCUGAGCGAAAGCGUUAAGUAAUCCACCUGGGGAGUACGUUCGCAAGAAUGAAACUUAAAGGAAUUGGCGGGG
rnacentral:rRNA from 1 species